GGUCAAGUUUCUAAGAGCAAACGGUGGAUGCCUUGGCAUCUGGAGCCGAUGAAGGACGUAGAAAUCUGCGAUAAGCCUCGGGGAGCUGAUAAUCGAGCUGUGAUCCGAGGAUUUCCGAAUGGGGAAACCCCGCCAGGCGUUUGACGACCUGGUGACUCCCGCCUGAAUAUAUAGGGCGGGUAGAGGGAACGUGGGGAAGUGAAACAUCUCAGUACCCACAGGAAGAGAAAACAACAUGUGAUUCCGUGAGUAGUGGCGAGCGAAAGCGGAUGAGGCUAAACCGAUCAUGUGUGAUAGCCGGCGGGCGUUGCAUGGUCGGGGUUGUGGGACACGUCACUCAGUUCUGCCGGACUGGGACGGUUACAGCGCAUCAUAGUCGAACCGGUUUGAAAGCCGGGCCGUAGUGGGUGCCAGCCCCGUAGACGAAAUGGUGUUAUGGCCGGAUGUGUAUCCCAAGUAGCACGGGGCCCGAGAAAUCCCGUGUGAAUCUGUCAGGACCACCUGAUAAGCCUAAAUACUCCCAGAUGACCGAUAGCGGACAAGUACCGUGAGGGAAAGGUGAAAAGUACCCCGGGAGGGGAGUGAAAUAGUACCUGAAACCGUUUGCUUACAAACCGUCGGAGCCUCCUUAGUAGGGGUGACGGCGUGCCUUUUGAAGAAUGAGCCUGCGAGUUAGUGAUAUGUGGCGAGGUUAACCCGUGAGGGGCAGCCGUAGCGAAAGCGAGUCUGAAUAGGGCGUUUGAGUCGCAUGUUCUAGACCCGAAGCGAAGUGAUCUAUCCAUGGCCAGGUUGAAGCGACGGUAAGACGUCGUGGAGGACCGAACCCACUUCAGUUGAAAAUGGAGGGGAUGAGCUGUGGAUAGGGGUGAAAGGCCAAUCAAACUUCGUGAUAGCUGGUUCUCUCCGAAAUGCAUUUAGGUGCAGCGUUGCGUGUUUCUCGCCGGAGGUAGAGCUACUGGAUGGCCGAUGGGCCUCAACAGGUUACUGACGUCAGCCAAACUCCGAAUGCCGGUGAGUGAGAGCGCAGCAGUGAGACGGUGGGGGAUAAGCUUCAUCGUCGAGAGGGAAACAACCCAGACUACCAACUAAGGUCCCUAAGCGUGUGCUAAGUGGGAAAGGAUGUGGAGUUGCAUAGACAACCAGGAGGUUGGCUUAGAAGCAGCCACCCUUGAAAGAGUGCGUAAUAGCUCACUGGUCAAGUGAUUCCGCGCCGACAAUGUAACGGGGCUCAAGCACACCACCGAAGUUGUAGAUUUCGCACUAUAGACAAGCCUUCGUGGUUCAGUCGUGCGGAGUGGUAGGAGAGCGUCGUGUGGCGAGUGAAGCGGCGGAGUGAUCCAGCCGUGGACGCUACACGAGUGAGAAUGCAGGCAUGAGUAGCGAAAGACGGGUGAGAAACCCGUCCUCCGAAAGACCAAGGGUUCCAGGGCCAGGUUAAUCCGCCCUGGGUAAGUCGGGACCUAAGGCGAGGCCGACAGGCGUAGUCGAUGGACAACGGGUUGAUAUUCCCGUACCGGCGAACAACCGCCCAAGCUAAUCCAGUGGUGCUAAGAGUCCUAACCCGGUACAACCGGAUCCCUUCGGGGUGAUGGUG
rnacentral:rRNA from 1 species